rnacentral:rRNA from 1 species
GCUCGCUAGAGAAAGUAAAGUGGCGCACGGGUGAGUAACGCGUGGGUAAUCUGCCUCCGAAUCGGGGAGUGACAUUGCGAAAGCGAUGCUAAUACCGGAUAAAAUCUGGUUGGCUUCGGUGAACCGGAUCAAAGGUGGUCUCUUUAUAAAAGCUACCGUUUGGAGAUGAGUUCGCGUACCAUUAGCUAGUUGGUGAGGUAAAGGCUCACCAAGGCGACGAUGGUUAGCUGGUCUGAGAGGAUGAUCAGCCACACCGGAACUGGAACACGGUCCGGACUCCUACGGGAGGCAGCAGUGAGGAAUUUUGCGCAAUGGGGGAAACCCUGACGCAGCAACGCCGCGUGAGUGAUGAAGGCUUUCGGGUCGUAAAGCUCUGUCGGGUGGGAAGAACCCACCAAGUGUUAAGACCACUUGGUGCUGACGGUACCACCGAAGGAAGCACCGGCUAACUCCGUGCCAGCAGCCGCGGUAAUACGGGGGGUGCGAGCGUUAUUCGGAAUCAUUGGGCGUAAAGGGCGCGCAGGCGGUUUUGUACGUCAGAUGUGAAAUCCCGGGGCUUAACCCCGGAAGUG